rnacentral:rRNA from 1 species
UUACACAAAUAUGAAGGCGGGCUGGAACCUCUCGGGGUUACAGCCUUGCUGAAUUAUUCACCCUUGUCUUUUGCGUACUUCUUGUUUCCUUGGUGGGUUCGCCCACCACUAGGACAAACAUAAACCUUUUGUAAUUGCAAUCAGCGUCAGUAACAAAUUAAUAAUUACAACUUUCAACAACGGAUCUCUUGGUUCUGGCAUCGAUGAAGAACGCAGCGAAAUGCGAUAAGUAGUGUGAAUUGCAGAAUUCAGUGAAUCAUCGAAUCUUUGAACGCACAUUGCGCCCUUUGGUAUUCCAAAGGGCAUGCCUGUUCGAGCGUCAUUUGUACCCUCAAGCUUUGCUUGGUGUUGGGCGUCUUGUCUCUAGCUUUGCUGGAGACUCGCCUUAAAGUAAUUGGCAGCCGGCCUACUGGUUUCGGAGCGCAGCACAAGUCGCACUCUCUAUCAGCAAAGGUCUAGCAUCCAUUAAGCCUUUUUUUCAACUUUUGACCUCGGAUCAGGUAGGGAUACCCGCUGAACUUAAGCAUAUCAAUAAGCGGAGGAAAAGAAACCAACAGGGAUUGCCCUAGUAACGGCGAGUGAAGCGGCAACAGCUCAAAUUUGAAAUCUGGCUCUUUUAGAGUCCGAGUUGUAAUUUGCAGAGGGCGCUUUGGCUUUGGCAGCGGUCCAAGUUCCUUGGAACAGGACGUCACAGAGGGUGAGAAUCCCGUACGUGGUCGCUGGCUAUUGCCGUGUAAAGCCCCUUCGACGAGUCGAGUUGUUUGGGAAUGCAGCUCUAAAUGGGAGGUACAUUUCUUCUAAAGCUAAAUAUUGGCCAGAGACCGAUAGCGCACAAGUAGAGUGAUCGAAAGAUGAAAAGCACUUUGGAAAGAGAGUCAAACAGCACGUGAAAUUGUUGAAAGGGAAGCGCUUGCAGCCAGACUUGCUUACAGUUGCUCAUCCGGGUUUCUACCCGGUGCACUCUUCUGUAGGCAGGCCAGCAUCAGUUUGGGCGGUAGGAUAAAGGUCUCUGUCA